rnacentral:misc_RNA from 1 species
UUUUCUGUGGACAGGAGAAAUUAUCAACCAGGAUCUAAUCCACAAGUGUCUUUCCCACUUUCCCAAGAAGUGCCAGUUCUGUGGCAAUCAUGAAUUACACAGGCACUUCUUUUUUUUUUUAAUUGUUUCAGAGCAAAGAAAUUCUGGAUUCUCUCGCCUCUUCAAAUAUGAUCCCAUGAUUUAAAUGGUCACUCGAUCAUGGAUAUUUGGUCUAAAUUAGUGUCUCAUCGUCGAAGAUAGGAAAAUCGUUCUGAUUUCAUCAUCCUUCUGGUUUUCCUCCUCUAUCACUCCGGGAAUGGAGGAAACUUUCAGACUUUCAACCACCAAACCAUUCCACAUCAUGUUGCCAUCUCUAUGGCCAUUAACCACUUUGAAGAUUUCAAAGAAGCUUAGGAUAAAAUCAAAGCACAAGAGAGAAUCCAGCGUUUUAGUCCUACUAGAGAAGUUGUUACCUCCUGGACGCCGCCCAAGGUCAAUAGCAUUAAGCUGAAUUUUGAUGUAGCGAUUUGUAAAGCUAGGAAUCACGGCUCAAUGGCCUCCAUUGCCCGCAACCACCAAAGCAAUUCCCACGCUAGUCUUGUAAGAUUGUUAAGGAUAUUAUGGAGCUUGGAAGGUAUUGCUUGCCAAGAAUCUCUCUUGUUGCCAGAGUCAAAGGCUUCAAAGAUAUCAUUGUGGAGGGGGAUUCUCAUAUCCUGAUCAAGAGACCCUUGAUGGAGAGACAAUUUCGUUUCGAGUUCAGAGCAUCAUCUCAGAUAUUAGAUCCUUAUCGAACUCUUUCAAUUUUGUAGCCUUCUCUUACAUUAGGAGGAGCUGCAAUAGUACAGCUCAUGCUCUUGCUCAUGGAGCUUUACAUUGCUCUUCAUUCAUCUCCAAUCCAAUAGAGUAAAUUUUAUUGAUUUCGGCGCUUUUACCGCUGUAAUCGAUCCUUGUUUUUAUCUUUGAUAAUAAAAAAA